CUCGGAUUGGAGUCUGCAACUCGACUCCAUGAAGCUGGAUUCGCUAGUAAUCGCGCAUCAGCCAUGGCGCGGUGAAUACGUUCCCGGGCCUUGUACACACCGCCCGUCAAGCCAUGGAAGCCGGGGGUGCCUGAAGUGUGCAGCCGCAAGGAGCGCCCUAAGGUAAAACCGGUGACUGGGGCUAAGUCGUAACAAGGUAAC
rnacentral:rRNA from 1 species